GGGGAUGAAAGGAUUUCGACGGGGAUCUCGAAGGUAGGUAAGCGGGCUGUCUUCUCCGGACAGACAAUAAACGCCGGUACCGUCUAAUAAAUGACGAAGAUCAGUAUCUCCUCGCUGCGUAAGUAACCGCCGGCUGCCAGCAGCCGGGCGGCGAAGCGGGAAGCGCAAGCUCCCGCCGACCCAAGUGUCCAGCGCGUCCGCCCCGGAGUGCCUCGGCCGGGAUACGGGCGUCAUCAGAGGCGUACGUGCGUGAGAUUGCGCUUCCGGGUCUCACCAUGCAGAUACGGCAGCUACCGUAACGCGAAGCUUCUGCCUGUACGGCGGCGCGUGAGGGGAAUCCAAACGACAGGCUCCGCCCGAAGAAAGCUUAUCGGACAGAUUUUCGGACGCGGUUUCAAUUACCGCCAUCUCCACCA
rnacentral:tmRNA from 1 species